rnacentral:rRNA from 1 species
UACGUAGGUGGCAAGCGUUGUCCGGAUUUACUGGGCGUAAAGAGCGCGCAGGCGGUCGUGCAAGUCGCGUGUGAAAGCCCCCGGCUCUACUGGGGAGGGUCACGCGAUACUGCUCGACUCGAAGGCAGGAGAGGGAAGUGGAAUUCCCGGUGUAGUGGUGAAAUGCGUAGAUAUCGGGAGGAACACCAGUGGCGAAGGCGACUUCCUGGCCUGUUCUUGACGCUGAGGCGCGAAAGCUAGGGUAGCAAACGGG